UUGCAUUGAUGGUGCUUGCACCUGAUUGAUUUUGGUCGCCAACGAGUGGCGGACGGGUGAGUAACACGUAGGUAACCUGCCCAGAAGCGGGGGACAACAUUUGGAAACAGAUGCUAAUACCGCAUAACAGCGUUGUUCGCAUGAACAACGCUUAAAAGAUGGCUUCUUGCUAUCACUUCUGGAUGGACCUGCGGUGCAUUAGCUUGUUGGUGGGGUAACGGCCUACCAAGGCGAUGAUGCAUAGCCGAGUUGAGAGACUGAUCGGCCACAAUGGGACUGAGACACGGCCCAUACUCCUACGGGAGGCAGCAGUAGGGAAUCUUCCACAAUGGGCGCAAGCCUGAUGGAGCAACACCGCGUGAGUGAAGAAGGGUUUCGGCUCGUAAAGCUCUGUUGUUAAAGAAGAACACGUAUGAGAGUAACUGUUCAUACGUUGACGGUAUUUAACCAGAAAGUCACGGCUAACUACGUGCCAGCAGCCGCGGUAAUACGUAGGUGGCAAGCGUUAUCCGGAUUUAUUGGGCGUAAAGAGAGUGCAGGCGGUUUUCUAAGUCUGAUGUGAAAGCCUUCGGCUUAACCGGAGAAGUGCAUCGGAAACUGGAUAACUUGAGUGCAGAAGAGGGUAGUGGAACUCCAUGUGUAGCGGUGGAAUGCGUAGAUAUAUGGAAGAACACCAGUGGCGAAGGCGGCUACCUGGUCUGCAACUGACGCUGAGACUCGAAAGCAUGGGUAGCGAACAGGAUUAGAUACCCUGGUAGUCCAUGCCGUAAACGAUGAGUGCUAGGUGUUGGAGGGUUUCCGCCCUUCAGUGCCGGAGCUAACGCAUUAAGCACUCCGCCUGGGGAGUACGACCGCAAGGUUGAAACUCAAAGGAAUUGACGGGGGCCCGCACAAGCGGUGGAGCAUGUGGUUUAAUUCGAAGCUACGCGAAGAACCUUACCAGGUCUUGACAUCUUGCGCCAACCCUAGAGAUAGGGCGUUUCCUUCGGGAACGCAAUGACAGGUGGUGCAUGGUCGUCGUCAGCUCGUGUCGUGAGAUGUUGGGUUAAGUCCCGCAACGAGCGCAACCCUUGUUACUAGUUGCCAGCAUUAAGUUGGGCACUCUAGUGAGACUGCCGGUGACAAACCGGAGGAAGGUGGGGACGACGUCAGAUCAUCAUGCCCCUUAUGACCUGGGCUACACACGUGCUACAAUGGACGGUACAACGAGUCGCGAACUCGCGAGGGCAAGCAAAUCUCUUAAAACCGUUCUCAGUUCGGACUGCAGGCUGCAACUCGCCUGCACGAAGUCGGAAUCGCUAGUAAUCGCGGAUCAGCAUGCCGCGGUGAAUACGUUCCCGGGCCUUGUACACACCGCCCGUCACACCAUGAGAGUUUGUAACACCCAAAGUCGGUGGGGUAACCUU
rnacentral:rRNA from 1 species